AGCCUUUGACAUCCUAGGACGAUUUCUGGAGACAGAUCUCUUCCCUUCGGGGACCUAGUGAC
rnacentral:rRNA from 1 species